GACGAACGCUGGCGGCGUGCUUAACACAUGCAAGUCGAACGGAAAGGCCCUGUUGGUGGUAGGUGCGCGGGUAGCGGGCGGGUAAGAAGCGGGUGAGUAGCCUUCCCCUGAGGGUGGAGUCAGGGCAAGUGAGUGUGACACAGGCCGGGUACGAGCUCCUGCUUGAGGGGGGGGGUGGGAAAUUUUCGUCGGUUGGGGAUGGACUCGCGGCGCAUGAGCUUGUUGGUGGGGUAGUGGCUUACGAAGGCUGUUACGGGUAGCCGGCCUGAGGGGGUGACCGGCAACAUUGGGACUGGGAUCCGGCCCAGACUCCUACGGGAGGCAGCAGUGGGGAAUAUUGCACAAUGGGCGGAAGCCUGAUGCAGCAACGCCGCGUGCGGGAUAACGGCCUUCGGUUUGAAACCCCUUUCCGCAUGUGCCGAGCGGUUAGUGACGGUAAUGGGUGAAGAAGCACCGGCUAACUACGUG
rnacentral:rRNA from 1 species